UGGGGAAUAUUGCACAAUGGGCGCAAGCCUGAUGCAGCCAUGCCGCGUGUAUGAAGAAGGCCUUCGGGUUGUAAAGUACUUUCAGCGAGGAGGAAGGCGUUGUGGUUAAUAACCGCAGCGAUUGACGUUACUCGCAGAAGAAGCACCGGCUAACUCCGUGCCAGCAGCCGCGGUAAUACGGAGGGUGCAAGCGUUAAUCGGAAUUCCUGGGUGUAAAGCGCACGCAGGCGGUCUGUCAAGUCGGAUGUGAAAUCCCCGGGCUCAACCUGGGAACUGCAUCCGAAACUGGCAGGCUAGAGUCUUGUAGAGGGGGGUAGAAUUCCAGGUGUAGCGGUGAAAUGCGUAGAGAUCUGGAGGAAUACCGGUGGCGAAGGCGGCCCCCUGGACAAAGACUGACGCUCAGGUGCGAAAGCGUGGGGAGCAAACA
rnacentral:rRNA from 1 species